rnacentral:sRNA from 1 species
AAUCGAUUCAGGAAUUUCAACCAAUGUUUUAGAAAUCUGCUUCUGUGUUUUAGGAUGGCUACGGCGCUAGCUCACCAAUCUUUUUAAAAGAUAAGCUUGUAAAAAGUCUACGAGGAAUGGGCAUUGCAAGAGACAUGAAAGUACCUAGAUAAUAGCGUUGAAAACUGUGCAGGGUGUCCCGGGUAUUUCAAAAUGGAAAGACUGUAAACAUUUCCCAUUACAAUUUCCGUAAGACAUUUGGUUUUGUUUCCAGUGCGUUCCUCUCAAGGUAAAAAACAGAUGAUGUAUUUGUCAAGAUUUCCCCCCUUUUUAUCAAUUUCGAACGUACUUUAUUGACAAAUACGUUUAUUUUCAUUAAAAAUCGUCAAAAAUACACAAAAACAAUAUCUUGGGCAAAGUAUACAUGUACUAGUAGUAUGGUAGUAAUUAUAAUUUCCAUGAGAUGACAUUAGUACUUUUGUAAAGACCCCCCCCC